rnacentral:tRNA from 1 species
AGUAGAAGCAGUAGCAUCAAUUUAAUGCGCUUUAUUGAAAAUGAAGAGAAUGAUGACAUAUCCUGUUUCUU